AGUGAACGCUGGCGGUAGGCCUAACACAUGCAAGUCGAACGGCAGCACAGUAGGAGCUUGCUCUUACGGGUGGCGAGUGGCGGACGGGUGAGGAAUACAUCGGAAUCUACUUUUUCGUGGGGGAUAACGUAGGGAAACUUACGCUAAUACCGCAUACGACCUACGGGUGAAAGCAGGGGAUCUUCGGACCUUGCGCGAUUGAAUGAGCCGAUGUCGGAUUAGCUAGUUGGCGGGGUAAAGGCCCACCAAGGCGACGAUCCGUAGCUGGUCUGAGAGGAUGAUCAGCCACACUGGAACUGAGACACGGUCCAGACUCCUACGGGAGGCAGCAGUGGGGAAUAUUGGACAAUGGGCGCAAGCCUGAUCCAGCCAUACCGCGUGGGUGAAGAAGGCCUUCGGGUUGUAAAGCCCUUUUGUUGGGAAAGAAAAGCAGCAGGUUGAUACCCCGCUGUUCUGACGGUACCCAAAGAAUAAGCACCGGCUAACUUCGUG
rnacentral:rRNA from 1 species